AGUCACUGCUAUCCGAAUUCGCCUAAGCCAUGCAAGUCUUGGGAAAUUUAUUUUCCAGGGCGGAAAGCUCAGUAACACGUAGUUAAUAUGCCCUUAGAUCUUGUUCAAUCCCGGGAAACUGGGGCCGAGAACGGGAUAGGUAAAAGAGGCUGGAAUGCACUUUUACUGAACUAAGGAUUAGACUGCGGCUGAUUAGGUUGUUGGGAGGGCAAAGUCCUCUCAAGCCGAUAAUCAGUACGAGCCUUGAGAGAGGAAACUCGGAGAUGGAUUCUGAGACAACAAUCCAGGUCCUACGGGACGCAGCAGGCGCGAAAAUUUCACAAUGCGCGCAAGCGUGAUGGAGGAAUUCGGAGUACUUUUCCAUACUGGAGAAGUUUUUGUUCACCUUAAAUAAGUGAAAGAAUAAGUGGUGGGUAAUACGGGUGCCAGCCGCCAUGCUAAGGGCAAGAAAUUGCCACUAGCACGGUAAGCGGUAAUACCCGAGCCACGAGUGGUGACCGCUUUUAUUGGGUUUAAAACAUUCGUAGCCGGUUUGGUAAGCUCCUGGUGAAAUAUCACAGUUGACUGUGGUGCUUGCCGGGGAGACUGCCAGACUAGAGACCGGGAGAAGUCAAGGGUACUGUCGGGGUAGGGGUAAAAUCCUGUAAUCCUGACAGGACCGCCUGUGGCGUAAGCUGUCCCAAGAAGCACAUAGCAUAUUGGAGCAGCUUCUGUACAAGGCGCUUGACCAGAACGGAUCUGACGGUGAGGGAUGAAAGCCAGGGGAGCAAAGCGGAUUAGAUACCCGCGUAGUCCUGGCCGUAAACGAUACCCACUAGUUACUGGGGGUCUCAAGGGGGUCCCCAAUGACGUAGGGAAACCGUUAAGUGGGUUACCUGGGAAGUACGUUCGCAAGGAUGAAACUUAAAGGAAUUGGCGGGGGAGCACACAAGGGGUGGAUGCUGCGGUUC
rnacentral:rRNA from 1 species